UUAUUUCCCCAACAAUAUGGCAAAGAGAUAGUAGCCAGGGAUUGUUUCAGCAGUACUGUGAAGGAUUGUUCUGUCUUUACUGAGGUCUCAGGUCUUCAGUCAAUCAAAAUUUUAAAUAAACAGGUUGUAUUCAUAGGUUUGCUUCACUAAAGAAACCUUUGGGUGGUGUGGGCGGCAUAUAAGUUAAAUAAACAAACAAACAAAUGUUUCUCACUUCAGUGGUGUCAGAAAAAAUGCAUGUGUGUCCUCCAUAGUAUUCUGAACAGGAAGGUGGGUCUUGUGGCCUUGGCCCCAGGUAAGAGGAAAUGAGGUUUCUAUUCCCAGCCUGGUUCCUACUUUCCUAUGUGACAUUUGGCAAGUCAACUUGAUAUCUCUAUUUCUCUGUCAUGCUAAGUAUAAAAUUGUGAUAAUUAUACCUCACGUGGGCACUGAAGUUGAAGUAAUUUAAAUUCCUGAAAGAAACAUGCAUAUAUGAGAAGUAUUUCAGUGGUACAAGAUAUGACAGGCUGGUAUUCUUUUCAUUUUAGGUCAACAAAUCCCAUCUUUUUAAAAGUUAUUUUCUUGCCUCUUUUUCACGUGAGAAAAUACUGAUGAAUUUAGGUCAGUAAUAUAGAUAUGACUGCCCACACAGCAAAACUAGCUUAGCUCUAAUGCCAGAGCUUAGAAAAUUUACUUUUCUGGGCUACAAGUCCCCAAGUCUGUGUGCUAACACAGUCCUUUUCCAUGUUGUCUAGGCAGUUAUGGAUGCUGAACGAAGAAACUGUAGUAACAGCUAAUGUCUUAGGAACUGUUGCAUUUAGUGGCGGUGUAUUUCAUAUGAAAGCCCUGCGCGGUGUAAUGAAUAAGAGUCAUGGACUGGGACUCAAGAGACUGCGGUUGAGGUUCCCAUUUUGCCAUGGAAAUUCUCUCUGUAUGUGAGUGUGGAAUUCAUAAAACCAUUCUUUAAAUAACUCAAUUACCUUAAAAUUGGUAUUAAGGUUGGUAUUUUGAUUUAACGGCACAUCCCGUAGUCUAAUUCCAACUUCUUGUGUGUGCCAAAUAAAAGGUUCAGUAGUAGUUGAGUGGCA
rnacentral:lncRNA from 1 species